rnacentral:tRNA from 3 species
GCUCAAGUAGCUCAGUUGGUAGAGCACACCCUUGGUAAGGGUGAGGUCGGCAGUUCAAAUCUGCUCUUGAGCUCCA